rnacentral:rRNA from 1 species
AGUCGAGCGAAUCUUUAGGAGCUUGCUCCUAAAGAUUAGCGGCGGACGGGUGAGUAACACGUGGGCAACCUGCCUAUAAGACUGGGAUAACUUCGGGAAACCGGAGCUAAUACCGGAUAAUCCUUUUCCUCUCAUGAGGAAUAGCUGAAAGACGGUUUCGGCUGGCACUUAUAGAUGGGCCCGCGGCGCAUUAGCUAGUUGGUGAGGUAAUGGCUCACCAAGGCAACGAUGCGUAGCCGACCUGAGAGGGUGAUCGGCCACACUGGGACUGAGACACGGCCCAGACUCCUACGGGAGGCAGCAGUAGGGAAUCUUCCGCAAUGGACGAAAGUCUGACGGAGCAACGCCGCGUGAACGAUGAAGGCCUUCGGGUCGUAAAGUUCUGUUGUUAGGGAAGAACAAGUACCGGAGUAACUGCCGGUACCUUGACGGUACCUAACCAGAAAGCCACGGCUAACUACGUGCCAGCAGCCGCGGUAAUACGUAGGUGGCAAGCGUUGUCCGGAAUUAUUGGGCGUAAAGCGCGCGCAGGCGGUCUCUUAAGUCUGAUGUGAAAGCCCACGGCUCAACCGUGGAGGGUCAUUGGAAACUGGGGGACUUGAGUGCAGAAGAGGAAAGCGGAAUUCCACGUGUAGCGGUGAAAUGCGUAGAGAUGUGGAGGAACACCAGUGGCGAAGGCGGCUUUCUGGUCUGUAACUGACGCUGAGGCGCGAAAGCGUGGGGAGCAAACAGGAUUAGAUACCCCUGGUAGUCCACGCCGUAAACGAUGAGUGCUAAGUGNUA